rnacentral:rRNA from 1 species
AACGAACGCUGGCGGCAGGCCUAACACAUGCAAGUCGAACGAGAAACCAGAGCUUGCUCUGGCGGAAAGUGGCAGACGGGUGAGUAACGCGUGGGAAUUUACCCAGUGGUACGGAAUAACUCAGGGAAACUUGUGCUAAUACCGUAUACGCCCUUCGGGGGAAAGAUUUAUCGCCAUUGGAUGAGCCCGCGUUAGAUUAGUUUGUUGGUGGGGUAAUGGCCUACCAAGACUACGAUCUAUAGCUGGUCUGAGAGGAUGAUCAGCCACACUGGGACUGAGACACGGCCCAGACUCCUACGGGAGGCAGCAGUGGGGAAUAUUGCACAAUGGGCGCAAGCCUGAUGCAGCCAUGCCGCGUGAGUGAAGAAGGCCUUAGGGUUGUAAAACUCUUUCACCGGUGAAGAUAAUGACGGUAGCCGGAGAAGAAGCCCCGGCUAACUCCGUG